CACGGCGACACCGGGCACGGGCACGGCGACACCGGCGGCACCGGCCGAGCAUCCCCCGGGGCGAUGGAGCCGCCGCGGAGCCUCCCGGGGCUGGAGCGGGAGCGCGGCGCGCUGGACGCGGCCGGAGGGUGCCCGUCCCCGCUGGACGCCAAGGCCGUGCCCGGCAGGAAGGUCUGGGUCAAGCUGCGGGCGCUGCUCCGUUUCCUGGUGAAGCAGCUGGAGGCGGGCGAGGUGAGCGUGGAGGAGCUGAAGCGCAACCUGGAGUACGCGGCCUCGCUGCUCGAGGCCGUGUGCAUCGACGAGACCAGGCAGGUGCUGGACACGGAGGACGAGCUGCGGGACAUGGGCUCGGACGCGGCCGUGCCCUCCGAGGUGCGCGACUGGCUGGCGGCCACCUUCACGCAGCAGGCGCGGGCCAAGGGCCGCCGCGCCGAGGAGAAACCCAAAUUCCGCAGCAUCGUGCACGCCGUGCAGGCCGGCAUCUUCGUGGAGAGGAUGUUCCGCCGGACGUACACGGCCGUGGGGCCGAGCUACUCCUCCUCCGUCCUCAACUGCCUGAAGGGGCUGGACCAGUGGUGCUUUGACGUGUUCUCGCUGCACCGCGCGGCCGAGGAGCACUCGCUGCGCACGGUGGUGUUCGAGCUCUUCACCCGCCACAACCUCAACAGCCGCUUCAAGGUGUGCCCGGCGCCCCAAAACCCCAAAAAAUACCCAAAAAUACCCCCUGCAACCUCAACAGCCGCUUCAAGGUGUGCCCGGCGCCCCAAAACCCCAAAAAUACCCCAAAAAACCAAUCCCCACAACCUCAACAGCCGCUUCAAGAUUCCCGGCGCGUUCCUGACGUCGCUGCUGGAGGCGCUGGAGGGCGGCUACGGAAAGUUCCGGAACCCCUACCACAACCAGGUGCACGCGGCCGACGUCACCCAGACCGUGCACUGCUUCCUGCUGCGCACCGGCAUGCUGCACUGCCUGUCCGAGAUCGAGCUCCUGGCCAUCGUCUUCGCCGCCGCCAUCCACGACUUCGAGCACACGGGGACAACAAACAGCUUCCACAUCCAGACCAAGUCGGACACCGCCAUCCUGUACAACGACCGCUCGGUGCUGGAGAACCACCACAUCAGCGCCGUGUUCCGCCUGAUGCAGGACGAGGAGCUCAACAUCUUCGUCAACCUCACCAAGGACGAGUUCGCGGAGCUGCGGGCGCUGGUCAUCGAGAUGGUCCUGGCCACCGACAUGUCCUGCCACUUCCAGCAGGUCAAGUCCAUGAAGACGGCGCUGCAGCAGCUGGAGAGGCUGGACAAGUCCAAGGUGCUGUCGCUGCUGCUGCACGCGGCCGACAUCAGCCACCCCACCAAGCAGUGGGCGGUGCACAGCCGCUGGACCAAGGCCCUCAUGGAGGAGUUCUUCCGGCAGGUAGGGCCGGGGCCGGGCGGGGGGAGUGGGGGACACCCCGUGGGGACGCCACGGAUGUCCCUUGCCUUGCCAGGGGGACAAGGAGGCCGAGCUGGGGCUGCCCUUCUCGCCCCUCUGCGACCGCACCUCCACGCUGGUGGCCCAGUCACAAAUCGGGUUCAUCGACUUCAUCGUGGAGCCGACGUUCUCGGUGCUCACCGACGUGGCCGAGAAGUUGGUGACGCCGCUGGCCGAGGACGGCUCCAAGGCCAAGGGCAACCCCGCGGCCACCCAGCAGCCCAGGUGGGUGUCCCUGUCCCCAAGGUUUGUGCCCUGUGGUGGCAGCGGUGGCCCUGGCCCGCUGCCAGCUGUCGCCGUUGUCCCCCAGCUCGCAGUGGCGGCAGCCGUCCCUGGAUGAGCACCUGGAGCUGGGGGACGUCAAAGCCGACCUGGCCGGGUUCCGCUCCACCUGGACCAAGCACAUCCAGGAGAACAAGCAGAAGUGGAAGGAGAGGGCGGCCAGCGGUAGGGGACGGCCACCAUGGCCACCAUGGCCACCAUGGCCAGUACAGCCACCACAGGCAGUACAGCCACCAUGGCCACCAUGGCCACUAUGGCAACUAUGGCCAGUACAGCCACCACAGGCAGUACAGCCACCAUGGCCACCAUGGCCACUAUGGCAACUAUGGCCAGUACAGCCCCCACAGGCAGUACAGCCACCACAGCCACCAUGGCCACCACAGCCACUAUGGCAACUAUGGCCACCAAUGGCCACCAUGGCUGCCAAUGACCACCAAUGGCCAUCAUGGCCAGUACAGCCACCACAGCCACUAUGACCACCAAUGGCCACCAAUGGCCACCACGGCCACCAAUGGCCACCAAUGGCCACCACUGUGGCCACCAGGGAGGGCUUGGGGACCACCGUGAACUGCUCAGGGCCAGCUCUGUCCCAGUGUGAGGUGACACAAACGCGGCGCGGGUGGCCCUGGGCUGUGCAGGGGGGUGGCCCCGGGGGGGACAGAAGUUCUGGGGUGUCCCAGUGACCCCGGGCCAUGCCCCGGUGACCCUGCCCGUGCCCCCAGGCAUCACCAACCAGGCGUCCAUCGAUGAGCUGUCCCCGUGCGAGGAGCCCGCGGCCACCGGGACCCACAGCGAGAACGGGGACGUGGAAUAGCGGCGGGAGGAGCCAGGUCCUUGUCCGAGUGUCUUGUCUUCGAUGCCAUCGAGUUCAG